rnacentral:rRNA from 1 species
AUUGAACGCUGGCGGCAGGCCUAACACAUGCAAGUCGAGCGGAGCGGCGGACGUGUGAGUAAUGCCUAGGCAUCUGCCUGGUCGUGGGGGUUUUCUUCCGGACCCGGGCCCUAAUGCCGCAUACUCUCAGAUGAGCCUCGGUCGGAUUAGCGAGUUGGUGGGGUAAAGGCCUACCAAGGCGACGAUCCGUACCUUGUCUGAGAGGAUGAACAGUCACACUGGAACUGAGACACGGUCCAGACUCCUACGGGAGGCAGCAGUGGGGAAUAUUGGACAAUGGGCGAAAGCCUGAGCCAGCCAUGCCGCGGGUGUGAAGAAGGUCAUCGGAUUGUAAAGCACUUUAAGUUGGGAGGCGUUACCAACAGAAUAAGCACCGGCUAACUUCGUGCCAGCAGCCGCGGUAAUAC